UACGUAGGGUGCGAGCGUUAAUCGGAAUUACUGGGCGUAAAGCGUGCGCAGGCGGUUCUCCAAGUCUGUUGUGAAAGCCCCGGGCUCAACCUGGGAAUGGCAGUGGAAACUAGGGGACUGGAAUCUGGCAGAGGGGGGUGGAAUGCCGCGUGUAGCAGUGAAAUGCGUAGAGAUGCGGCGGAACACCGAUGGCGAAGGCAGCCCCCUGGGCUGAGAUUGACGCUCAGGCACGAAAGCGUGGGGAGCAAACAGG
rnacentral:rRNA from 1 species